AUUGAACGCCGGCGGCAGGCUUAACACAUGCAAGUCGAGCGGAGAUGAGGUGCUUGCACCUUAUCUUAGCGGCGGACGGGUGAGUAAUGCUUAGGAAUCUGCCUAUUAGUGGGGGACAACAUUCCGAAAGGAAUGCUAAUACCGCAUACGUCCUACGGGAGAAAGCAGGGGCUCUUCGGACCUUGCGCUAAUAGAUGAGCCUAAGUCGGAUUAGCUAGUUGGUGGGGUAAAGGCCUACCAAGGCGACGAUCUGUAGCGGGUCUGAGAGGAUGAUCCGCCACACUGGGACUGAGACACGGCCCAGACUCCUACGGGAGGCAGCAGUGGGGAAUAUUGGACAAUGGGGGGAACCCUGAUCCAGCCAUGCCGCGUGUGUGAAGAAGGCCUUAUGGUUGUAAAGCACUUUAAGCGAGGAGGAGGCUACUGAGACUAAUACUCUUGGUUAGUGGACGUUACUCGCAGAAUAAGCACCGGCUAACUCUGUGCCAGCCGCCGCAGUAAUAC
rnacentral:rRNA from 1 species